rnacentral:rRNA from 1 species
GACGAACGCUGGCGGCGUGCUUAACACAUGCAAGUCGAGCGGACAGGCCCUUCGGGGUCCUCGAGCGGCGAACGGGUGAGUAACACGUGAGUAACCUGCCCCAGACUUUGGGAUAACCCUCGGAAACGGGGGCUAAUACCGGAUACGACACAGCUUCGCAUGGGGUCUGUGUGGAAAGUUUUUCGGUUUGGGAUGGGAUCGCGGCCUAUCAGCUUGUUGGUGGGGUGAUGGCCUACCAAGGGGACGACGGAUAGCCGGCCUGAGAGGGCGACCGGCAACACUGGGACUGAGGCACGGAGCAGAAUCCUACGGGAGGCAGUGGUGGAAAACAUCACACAGUGGGCGGGAGCCUGAUGCGGAGACGCCGGGUGAGGGAUAACGGCCUUCGGGUUGUAAACAUCUUUCAGCAGAGACGAAGCGUAAGUGACGGUACCUGCAGAAGAAGCGCCGGCCAACUACGUG